rnacentral:rRNA from 1 species
UGGGGAACGAUUUACACUCCCAACCCACUGUGAACCUUACCUCAGUUGCCUCGGCGGGAACGCCCCGGCCGCCUGCCCCCGCGCCGGCGCCGGACCCAGGCGCCCGCCGCAGGGACCCCAAACUCUCUUGCAUUACGCCCAGCGGGCGGAAUUUCUUCUCUGAGUUGCACAAGCAAAAACAAAUGAAUCAAAACUUUCAACAACGGAUCUCUUGGUUCUGGCAUCGAUGAAGAACGCAGCGAAAUGCGAUAAGUAAUGUGAAUUGCAGAAUUCAGUGAAUCAUCGAAUCUUUGAACGCACAUUGCGCCCGCCAGCAUUCUGGCGGGCAUGCCUGUUCGAGCGUCAUUUCAACCCUCGAGCCCCCCCGGGGGCCUCGGUGUUGGGGGACGGCACACCAGCCGCCCCCGAAAUGCAGUGGCGACCCCGCCGCAGCCUCCCCUGCGUAGUAGCACACACCUCGCACCGGAGCGCGGAGGCGGUCACGCCGUAAAACGCCCAACUUUCUUAGAGUUGACCUCGGAUCAGGUAGGAAUACCCGCUGAACUUAAGCAUAUCAAUAAGCGGAGGAA